rnacentral:rRNA from 1 species
CGUAGGUAACCUGCCUUGUAGCGGGGGGAUAACUAUUGGAAACGAUAGCUAAUACCGCAUAACAAUGGAUGACACAUGUCAUUUAUUUGAAAGGGGCAAUUGCUCCACUACAAGAUGGACCUGCGUUGUAUUAGCUAGUAGGUGAGGUAAUGGCUCACCUAGGCGACGAUACAUAGCCGACCUGAGAGGGUGAUCGGCCACACUGGGACUGAGACACGGCCCAG